GACGAACGCUGGCGGCGUGCUUAACACAUGCAAGUCGAACGGAAAGGCCCUGCUUUUGUGGGGUGCUCGAGUGGCGAACGGGUGAGUAACACGUGCGUACCCUGCCCUUGGCUUUGGGAUAACUUCAGGAUACUUGGGCUAAUACCCGAUAUGAGCUCCUGCUGCAUGGUGGGGGUUGGAAAGGUUCGGCGGUUGGGGAUGGAUUCGCGGCUUAUCAGCUUGUUGUUGGGGUAGUGGCAGCCCAAGGCUUUGACGGGUUGCCGGCCUGAGAGGGUGACCGGCCACAUGGGGACUGCGAUACGGCCCAGACUCCUACGGGAGGCAGCAGUGGGGAACAUUGCACAAUGGGCGGGAGCCUGAUGCAGCAACGCCGCGUGCGGGAUGACGGCCUGCGGGUUGUAAACCGCUUUCGCCUGUGACGAAGCGUGAGUGACGGUAAUGUGUAAAGAAGCACCGGCUAACUACGUG
rnacentral:rRNA from 1 species